rnacentral:rRNA from 1 species
CCUACGGGAGGCAGCAGUGGGGGAUAUUGCACAAUGGGGGAAACCCUGAUGCAGCGACGCCGCGUGUGGGAAGACGGCCCUCUGGACUGUAACCCACUUUCUCCAGGGACAAAGACGACGGUUCCUCAGGAGGAAGCCCCGGCCAACUACGUGGCAACCGCCGUGGUAAUACGUGGGGAGCGAGCGUUGUCCGGAAUUACUGGGUGUAAAGGGAGCGUAGGCGGGACUGCAAGUUGGGUGUCAAAUCUACCGGCUCAACCGCUAGCUGCACUGAAAACUGGAGUUCUUGAGUGAAGUAGAGGAAGGCGGAAUUCCUAGUGUAGCGGUGAAAUGCGUAGAUAUUAGGAGGAACACCAGUGGCGAAGGCGGCUUGCUGGGCUGUUACUGACGCUGAGGUUCGAAAGUGUGGGGAGCAAACAGGAUUAGAUACCCGUGUAGUC